GACGAACGCUGGCGGCGUGCUUAACACAUGCCAGUCGAACGGUGAAGCGCCUUCCUUUUUGGUGGGUGUGGAUGAGUGGCGAACGGGUGAGUAACACGUGAGUAACCUGCCCCCUUCUUCUGGAUAACCGCAUGAAAGUGUGGCUAAUACGGGAUAUUCUGGGUCUGUCGCAUGAUGGGUCUGGGAAAGAUAUUGUUUCGGUGGGGGAUGGGCUCGCGGCCUAUCAGCUUGUUGGUGGGGUGAUGGCCUACCAAGGCGGUGACGGGUAGCCGGCCUGAGAGGGUGGACGGUCACACUGGGACUGAGACACGGCCCAGACCCCUACGGGAGGCAGCAGUGGGGAAUAGUGCACAAUGGGCGCAAGCCUGAUGCAGCGACGCCGCGUGAGGGAUGGAGGCCUUCGGGUUGUGAACCUCUUUCGCCAGUGAAGCAGGCCUGCCUCGUUUGUGGGUGGGUUGACGGUAGCUGGAUAAGAAGCGCCGGCUAACUACGUG
rnacentral:rRNA from 1 species